CCCUUAGAUGUUCUGGGCUGCACGCGUGCUACAAUGGCGCUUGCAACAAGUCUUGCCAACCCGAUAGGGUGAGCGGAUCUUUGAAGAGGCGUCGUGAUCGGGACAGUUGAUUGCAAUUAUUCGACUCGAACGAGGAAUUCCUUGUAAUCGCGAUUCAUCAUAUCGCGCUGAAUACGUCCCUGCCCUUUGUACACACCGCCCGUCGCUCCUACCGAUUGAGUGGUCCGGUGAGGCUUUGGGAUCUGAGCAAAAAGAGCGUUUCGCUCGUUUGGCUCGGAAAACUCAGUCGAACCUUAUCAUUUAGAGGAAGGAGAAGUCGUAACA
rnacentral:rRNA from 1 species